rnacentral:lncRNA from 1 species
UCUCAUUGCUAGAUUAGCUCGUGCAAUUCUCUACAAAUAUAGUGAUUUGUGGGUUUUAGUUUGGGAGUAAUUAUGUAGGAGUUUAUUUCAUUUAUAUGCAAUUUGAGCUCAUAUUAACUUCUUAGUUUGCAUAUGUGUUGGUGUGGUUUACUUAGUGCCUUCCCGUCCCCGUCCUAACCACCGUCGAUCGCUGGCACCAUCUUGACGAGCCUCUUGUUCUUAUCAUUUUUAUAAAAAAAUCUUAUUUUUAUGAUUUGGAUAGUUACUUGUAUAAUUUUCUUACUUGUAUGAUUGUUUGUUAUACACAGUGCCAUGGUUUUGAUAUCUAUGCCCGUCGGCCCUCGGUCCGUUUAUAUGUGGUAUAUUCUUUUUUAUAACUAUUUAUUGCAUUUCAUAUUUAUGACAAUUAUGCCCAUCAAGUUGACAUAGAUAUUUUUAUUUAGAAGGUAUGUGAACCGGAAAUUACAAC